rnacentral:ncRNA from 1 species
GUGCGUCUUCAGGGCGGGGUGAAAUUCCCCACCGGCGGUAAGCCAGCAGCGCGAAAGCGCGAGCCGGCGAGCCCGCGAGCGCCCGCAUCGCGUGUUCUUCGCAUCAGCGAAGACCGUGGCGGGGUCAGCAGAUCUGGUGAGAAGCCAGAGCCGACGGUCAUAGUCCGGAUGGAAGAAGAUGUGC